rnacentral:rRNA from 1 species
CCUACGGGGGGCUGCAGUGGGGAAUCUUGCGCAAUGGGCGAAAGCCUGACGCAGCAACGCCGCGUGCGGGAAGAAGGCCUUCGGGUUGUAAACCGCUUUCAGAAGGAACGAAACUGACGGUACUUUCAGAAGAAGGUGCGGCCAACUACGUGCCAGCAGCCGCGGUGACACGUAGGCACCAAGCGUUGUCCGGAUUUAUUGGGCGUAAAGAGCUCGUAGGCGGUUCGGUAAGUCGGGUGUGAAAUCUUUGGGCUUAACCCAAAGCGUGCACUCGA